rnacentral:rRNA from 1 species
GACGAACGCUGGCGGCGUGCUUAACACAUGCAAGUCGAACGGAAAGGCCCUGCUUUUGUGGGGUGCUCGAGUGGCGAACGGGUGAGUAACACGUGAGUAACCUGCCCUUGACUUUGGGAUAACUUCAGGAAACUGGGGCUAAUACCGGAUAGGAGCUCCUGCUGCAUGGUGGGGGUUGGAAAGUUUCGGCGGUUGGGGAUGGACUCGCGGCUUAUCAGCUUGUUGGUGGGGUAGUGGCUUACCAAGGCUUUGACGGGUAGCUGGCCUGAGAGGGUGACCUGCCACAUUGGGACUGAGAUACGGCCCAGACUCCUACGGGAGGCAGCAGUGGGGAAUAUUGCACAAUGGGCGGAAGCCUGAUGCAGCAACGCCGCGUGCGGGAUGACGGCCUUCGGGUUGUAAACCGCUUUCGCCUGUGACGAAGCGUGAGUGACGGUAAUGGGUAAAGAAGCACCGGCUAACUACGUG